rnacentral:rRNA from 1 species
CCUACGGGAGGCAGCAGUGGGGAAUAUUGCGCAAUGGGCGAAAGCCUGACGCAGCUACGCCGCGUGAGGGAUGAAGGUCUUCGGAUCGUAAACCUCUGUCAGCAGGGAAGAACGGUCACUGUGCUAAUCAGCAGUGAAUUGACGGUACCUGCAAAGGAAGCACCGGCUAACUCCGUGCCAGCAGCCGCGGUAAUACGGAGGGUGCGAGCGUUAAUCGGAAUUACUGGGCGUAAAGCGCUCGUAGGCGGUAUGGCAAGUCAAGGGUGAAAUCCCCGCGCUCAACGUGGACACUGCCUCUUAAACGGGCAAACUGGAGUGUGUGAGAGGAUAGUGGAAUUCCAGGUGUAGGAGUGAAAUCCGUAGAUAUCUGGAGGAACAUCAGUGGCGAAGGCGACUAUCUGGAACAUAACUGACGCUGAGGAGCGAAAGCGUGGGUAGCAAACAGGAUUAGAUACCCUAGUAGUC